rnacentral:rRNA from 1 species
GACGAACGCUGGCGGCGUGCUUAACACAUGCAAGUCGAACGGAAAGGCCUGCUUUCCCUUGUGGAUUGCGGGUACUCGAGUGGCGAACGGGUGAGUAACACGUGAGUGAUCUGCCCCCAACUUGGGUAUAAGCCUGGGAAACUGGGUCUAAUUCCCGAUAGGACUGCAGGGUGGUGCCUGUGGUGGAAAACGAUUUUCUAGUGGUUGGGGAUGAGCUCGCGGCCUAUCAGCUUGUUGGUGGGGUAAUGGCCUACCAAGGCAGCGACGGGUAGCCGGCCUGAGAGGGUGGACGGCCACAUUGGGACUGAGAUACGGCCCAGACUCCUACGGGAGGCAGCAGUGGGGAAUAUUGCACAAUGGGCGGAAGCCUGAUGCAGCGACGCCGCGUGGGGGAUGACGGCCUUCGGGUUGUAAACUCCUUUCGACCGCGAGGAAGCCACCUGGUUGGAAGGGUGGUGACGGUAGUGGUAGAAGAAGCACCGGCUAACUACGUG